rnacentral:lncRNA from 1 species
AUGGCGUGUCUGAAAACCUUCCCCUAUCUUCACCGCCGUCGUUCACCCCUCAAAUUCCCCCUCUUCCUCUCUUCCGCUCGCCCCCUGUCCUCACCUCGCCGCCGCCCGUUCGCCUCCGCUUCUUCCGCCGCCACGAUGGCUGCCAUCGCCACCGUCGAGCACGUCGUCCUCUUCAAGGUCCGUGACUCCACCGACCCGUCCAAGGUCGACGCCAUGGUCUCCAACCUGCGCUCCCUGGUCUCCCUGGACAUCUCCGUCCACCUCGCCGCCGGCCCCGUCCUACGACACCGAUCCACCGCCGCCUCCGCUGCCGGGUUCACCCACCUCCUCCACAGCCGCUACCGCUCCAAGGCCGACCUCGCUGCCUACUCCGCCCACCCGGCCCAUGUGGCCGUCGUCAAGGAGCACGU